GCCCUGGUGGCCCAAUUGGCAGAGGCAGUCGGCUCAAACCCGGCACGGUGUGGGUUCGAGUCCCACCCAGGGCACCA
rnacentral:tRNA from 1 species